UGAGGACUUUGGGAGGAGCUGAUGUUGUUCGUGUUGAGGGUCUUUCAGCUGGGGACUCAGGGAGGAGCUGAUAAUCUUGAUUAAGGGUCAUGGAGCUGGAGACCCAGACAGGAGCUGAUGUUCUAGUUAGUGGAUCUUCCAGCUACAGAGUCAGAGAGGAGCUGAUGUUCUAGAUUGAGGGUCAUGCAGCUGAAUACUCGGGGAGGAGCUGAUGUUGUAGUUUGAGGGUCAUGCAGUUGAGGACUUCGGGAGGAGCUGAUGUUGUUCACGUUGAGGGUCUUUCAGCUGGGGACUCAGAGAGGAGCUGAUAAUCUUGAUUGAGGGUCAUGGAGCUGGAAACCUAGACAGGAGUUGAUGUUCUAGUUAGUGGAUCUUCCAGCUGCAGACCCAGGGAGGAGCUGAUGUUCUAGUUUGAGGGUCGUGCAGCUGAAGACCCGGGGAGGAGCUGAUGUUCUAGAUUGAGGGUCGUGGAGCUGCAGACGCGGAGAGGAGCUGAUGUUCUAGUUUGAGGGUCGUGCAGCUGGAGACCUGGAGAGGAGCUGAUGUUCUAGUUUGAGGUUCUUGCAGCUGCAGACCUGGAGAGGAGCUGAUGUUCUAGAUUGAGGGUCGUGCAGCUGCACACUUGGAGAGGAGCUGAUGUUCUAGAUUGAGGGUCUUGCAGCUGCAGACCUGGAGAGGAGCUGAUGUUCUAGUUUGAGGAUCUUGCAGCUGCAGACCCGGAGAGGAGCUGAUGUUCUACUUUGAGGGUCGUGCAGCUGGAGACCUGGAGAGGAGCUGAUGUUCUAGUUUGAGGGUCAUGCAGGUGAAGACUCGGGGAGGAGCUGAUGUUCUAGUUUGAAGGUCUUGCAGCUGCAGACCUGGAGAGGAGCUGAUGUUCUAGAUUGAGGGUCGUGCAGCUGAAGACUCGGGGAGGAGCUGAUGUUCUAGAUUAAGGGUCAUGCAGCUGAAGACUCAGGGAGGAGCUGAGGUUCUAGUUUGAGGGUCGUGCAGCUGAAGACUUGGGAGGAGCUGAGAUUCUAGUUUGAGGGUCGUGCAGCAGAAGACUCAGGGAGGAGCUGAUGUUCUAGAUUGAGGGCCCUACAGCUGCAGACCUGAAGAGGUGCUGAUGUUCGAGAUUGAGGGUCGUGCAGCUGAAUACUCGGAGAGGAGCUGAUGUUAUAGUUUGAGGGCCCUACAGCUGAAGACCCGGAGAGUAUCUGAUCUUCGAGAUUGAGGGUCAUGCAGCUGAAGACUCCGGGAGGAGCUGAGUUGCUAAUUUGAGGGUCUUGCAGCUGCUGACUUGGGGAGGAGCUGAUGUUCUAGUUUGAGGGCCCUACAGUUGGAAAUCUGUACAGGAGCUGAUGUUCUAGUUUGAGGGUCAUGCAGGUGAAAAAUCGGGGAGGAGCUGAUAUUCUAGUUUGAGGGCCCUGCAGCUAGAGAUGCAGACAGGAGCUGAUGUUGUAGUUUGAGGGUCGUACAGCUGAAGAUUCAGGGAGGAGCUGCUCGUGUAUUUUUAGGGUCAUGCAGCUGCAGACCCGGAGAGGAGCUGAUGUUAAAGAUUGAGGGUCAUGCAGCUGAAGACUCUGGGAGGAGCUGACGUUCUAAUUUGAGGUCCCUACAGGUGGACACCGAGAGAGGAGCUUAUGUUCUAGAUUGAGGGUCAUGCAGCAGAAGACUCGGGGAAGAGCUGAGGUUGUAGUUUGAGGGUCGUGCAGCUGGAGAACCAGACAGGAGCUGAUGUUGUAGAUUGAGCGUCGUGCAGCUGAAGACUCAGGGAGGAGCUGAUGUUGUUCGUUUUGAGGGUGUUUCAGCUGGAGACUCAGGGAGGAGCUGACGUUCUAGAUUGAGGGUCUUGCAGCUGCAGACCUGUAGAGGAACUGAUGUUCUAGAUUGAGGGUCACGCAGCUGAAGACUUGGGGAGAAGCUGAUGUUCUAACUUGAGGGUCGUGCAGCUGAGGACUCGGGGAGGAGCUGAUGUUGACAGCUGUGCAGCUGGAGAUCCGGCGGGGAGCUGAUGUUCCGGUUUGAGGGCCGGGGAGCUGAUGUUCC
rnacentral:lncRNA from 10 species